CUGGAAUCUCAGAAUGUCAUCUGAGAAUGGCUGAUAGGACCUAGGAAUCUUGGAAAGGAGGGCCAGAAUUUCAGAAGAGACUCUUGGAAUCGGGUCAUUGGGAGAACGUGUCUAUCCCCCAGCGCAGGAGUAUGGCUGCAUUUUGAGCCCCAGAGGACUAAGAGCUGAAAGGGCAAUGGUGGCAAGGGGACUGGAGGGUGCAGGAAUCCCUCAAGGAAAUGGAUUGACCCCGAAUAAUGGUGGCACUUUAUGGUGCCACAUUCAUCUCCUUGAUAAGCCAAAAACCUGGGAAUCACUCUUCAUACUUCUACAAUCCUCAAUGUUCACCAGAGCAACCACCAUUUAGGAAAGAUAUCCUGUGGGCUAGGCACCAUGCCAGGCACCGUACAGGCAGUGCAAUGGUCCUAACUUCUUGGAGCCUACAGUCAGCUGGGUACACACAACCUAAGCAAUGAUCACACUAACAAUAUAAUACAACCUGCAAUGCCAAAAUAAAAGAAUAGGGUGCCCUAAGCCUAGGGACUGGGUGAUCUGAUCUCAUUCAAGGGGUCAGGGGAGUUUUUCAGGGCAACUGUCAGUUUUUCUUCCAUCUGCGGGACAAAUACAGGGAAACAGGAGAAGGUAGGAGGUGAUGGGAAGGGGAGAAUGCUGCAGCAGUGAAAGUAGCAAAGGCCAUGAGUAGAGAUGAAGCUGUCUGUGCUCAACCCCCGGGACUUGGACCAGUGUGGCUGGAGGAUGGACAGCAAGGGAGGGAGGCUUUGAUUUGAGGCCAGAGGGCAGAUCAGAUCAUGAGAGUCUUGGGGCUGAUGAAGGGUCAAGAAAGACCCUGGGGCUUUAUCCUAAGAGCAGUAAGAAGCUGCUAAACAGAUGAUCAGGUCUCCUUUGCAUUGAAAUGAUAUCACACCAGGAUGCAAAGGACAAACCAGGCUGGAGGAGGUGAGGAGAUGAGGAGGCUGUGGCAGGAGAUGUGGAAGGAGAUUAUGGUUUGUACUAAGGGGAUGGUGGGAGAGGUAGAAAGAAGUGGGGGGACUGGACACCAUUUGAGGAGAUGAAGUCAGUAGGAUUGUGUUUCCCUGAUUCUCUUAUGGCUGAGUAUGAGCCUGUGACUACAUCCUGCCCGAUGGGACAUGUGCAGAAGUGAUGUGAACAACAUUCAGUUUGUACCCCCAAAGGGAGAGGCAUGACCUCCUCUUCCCCUUUGCCCUUUCCCACUGGCUGCAACGGGAACAUGAUGGUCAGGAUGAGAACACCAUGUUGGACAAGGAGAAGAAGGCUGCUUACGAAGGAGAGCAAAUGCACCCGAUUGAGGAGGAACCCUGGGACCCCGCUGGUUAUGGAGCUGCCACACCAUCCUGAAUGGUCCAUACAAAUUCUUAUGAGAGAAAGAGGGAAACUAGAGAAACUUCUAUGCUCUCUGGACGCUGGGGCACCACUAAUUUAUGUCUCUCUGUCCGAGGUGCUGAAUCAGAUCUCCAUGGAGCGGCAAUUAGACACUAAGCAAAUGGACAAAGGAGGCAGGUCCGCCCUCAGGUUUCCGGCUUGCACUGCUGGGUGGAGCCCCGAGGGAGAAACAGGCUUCACUGCGGAGUGAGAUGGGGUGUACAGAUGAUGAACCUGACUCAGGCAAACUGAGCUGGAGGCAUCCUAAGAGGAGACAAGAAGAGGUGCAAAGGGGAUAGGUAGGAAGCUUCAAGGGCAGGUGGCAGCUGGAAGAAAGGGAAACCAGAGGAGGACUCGGCAGUUCCCAACCCUGACUGCACAAGAGUGGGUGACAAAUUCUGAUAGCCAGGCCCAUCUCUGAGAUUCUGACUUAGUCGGUCUGGGACAGGGCGGGCAAGCAGCAUUUGCUAAAAGCUCCCUCACGGUGGUCCUCACGGCGCAGGGUGCGGUGGAGGAAGCACAGGUGUGGCCAUAACUGAAACCACAGGCAUGGAUGAGACACCUCGGGAAGGAGUAUGGGGUGGGAAGGGAACCAACCUGCAGUCCCUCCCACACUCCUAGGCCCGUGGAGAGGAGAGCAGGUGACCCAGAGCAGCCACCCAGCUACCUCCAUCACGGUCCUUGCAAGAACGCAGUAAGGAGAGCCAAACAGGAAACACGAUGGUCCUCUCAGGAGUGACAGGGCUUUAGAGAAACAAAAUAGGUUCCUUUCCCUUUUUCUCUCCCUCCAUCCCUCUCUACUUCCCGGGGCUCCCCGCAUGUCACUCGUCACUCAUGAGUUCUUCAGGAAGCUGCUCUGGCCUUCACCGGCCCUGGAAGCUGAUCUGGCCGGAGCCUACUACUGAGGGGCUCCGCCUUCCCUCCUGGGAACCAGCCCCCCCUGCCCAGGACAACUGCAGCCGCUGUCGCCACAGCCCCCUGUCCUCUCUGCAAGUGCCAGGCCAGCCUGUACUGUGAGCACGUGCAUACUCACGAGUGAACCCUCGGGACAUCUAUCACUUCUUCUCUCUCUAGCCAUUCUGUUUUUCUGGACUUCAAAAUGCUCAUCUGUAAAACAGAAUAGCUAUAGGGUACUCAAUCCCACAAAGUGGUAAGGUUUUUUUGGUGGGGACCCAAGCGGGUGCUAAUGAAACUGUAUGAAUUUAUGAAACACCUUUAAUCUUGUUCAGGUCAAGUACCAGGAAGAGCUAGGGAGGGAGGCAGAGACAAAAAAGACCCAUAAAUCCCUGCUGCUCUUGGGGGCACUUACAGAAGAACGUGCCUGACAUAAGUGAAAGCCUAAAAGGAAAAAACCUUAUAGCAUUUGGUUCAGGAGGAGCCCAGGGUUUAUGAGAGCAGAGGUCAACGGCAGGGUACAGGUAGGCUCCCCCGAAGAGGGCCCUACCCUCAGAAUUUCCUUGAGAGCAAUCAUUUUCUUCCCUCCACUGGGUCCCCAAAGCUCAUGACCAAUGUCUGUUUUGGGAGGUCGAAGUGGAAGGUGACGAGGGUCAGCUGAGCCGGUUUGAACGUCCACACUGCCACACUCUGAUUAUGUGACACUGGGAGAGUUAGGAAGCACUUAUCCCUUCUGAGCCUGUGUCUUCAUCACUUAGCAUAAAAUCUAGAACACAGCAGUACUUAAUAAUAACUAUUAGCUACUUUUGCUGUUAAGAUUUUACCAGAUUCAGAUGGUUGUGAGCUAUUAUGGAAAAUGCCUGACCCGGGGAAUGCACUCAUUGCGGACUGGUUCCCUUUCUUCCUUCAAGUUUAUAAUCAAAUAAAGCUUUAGUGUGUUGCAA